rnacentral:rRNA from 1 species
UACGUAGGGUGCGAGCGUUGUCCGGAAUUAUUGGGCGUAAAGGGCUCGUAGGCGGUCUGUUGCGUCGGGCGUGAAAACUCGGGGCUUAACCCUGAGCCUGCUUCCGAUACGGGCAGACUAGAGGUAUGCAGGGGAGAACGGAAUUCCUGGUGUAGCGGUGAAAUGCGCAGAUAUCAGGAGGAACACCGGUGGCGAAGGCGGUUCUCUGGGCAUUACCUGACGCUGAGGAGCGAAAGUGUGGGGAGCGAACAGG